rnacentral:rRNA from 1 species
AGGAAAAGAAACUAACCAGGAUUCCCCCAGUAACGGCGAGUGAAGCGGGAAGAGCUCACGUUGUAAAUCCGCCCUCUUCGAGGAUGGAAUUGUAGUCUGGAGAGGCGAGGCCAGCCGGCGCUGCGGGCGAAGUCUCUUGGAAAAGAGCAUCAAGGAGGGUGACAAUCCCGUUCUUGCCCCCAAGCGCCGCGCGUACGGCCCGUUUUCUAAGAGUCGAGUUGCUUGGGAUUGCAGCUCAAAGCGGGUGGUAAAUUCCAUCUAAAGCUAAACACGGGUGGGAGACCGAUAGCGAACAAGUACCGUGAGGGAAAGAUGCAAAGAACUUUGAAAAGAGAGUUAAAGAGUGCCUGAAAUUGCUGAAAGGGAAGCGAAGGAAACCAGUGUCUGUCGGUUCCGCUUCUCCUCCGCCCUCCGGGGCGUUGGUUUGCGUUUCCGUCGUGGCCAGGGCCGGGUAGCUUUGCGGGAGUCGGCGCCUCGGGAGGUACGUCUCUUCGGAGAGGGAAUACCGUGGCGUUUUUUGUCGCGAGGCUGGCUGGUCCUGACGAAAUGGUUUUCUUCAC